CAUACCCCUGUUGAGAACAACGUCUGCACACACAAAGCCAAUCUAACUGCUUUACUUCAGUCCAAGUUUCUUUCCGUGCUCAGCCACGCCACUGUGUGUUUCCUAAUUAUCACACAACACGAUAAGAGACAAACACAACGUUACCUUCAGGCUGGGAGCAUAGCACAGAUGAGGCCCACUCUCACGACUGGAAUCGCUGGAACCAUAGAUUUUUCCUGCUUACGGGACAGGGUCUUGCUAUGGCACUGAACUUGACUUCCAAGCAGCCUAAGUCCACCUCCUGACUGCAAACAUGGCAGCCUGUGCAUGCAAAACAGGUCUCAAGUCAUGCAACAGCAGCGCUGAGACUCGCAGAUAACCCCAGACUCACAGCUCCAUGCCUCACAAGAGCGAGCGGGUCUUGAUUCAGCGUUUAGUUUUUAACAGGACAGCGCCUGCACUCUGACAAUCAGCACCGUGCUGCCCACCUGAAGCCACUCACCGGCUUCUCCAGAUGUGGUGUUUGACUGCUCUACUGCCAAUUCUCCGUCAUCUGUAUUAUUGAGUCUCUACAGAGGUGUAUAAUACAAUCAUGAGAUUGGAAGGAUCAACAAUUUAAUUCAGAAGACUCAUCACACUCU